GGAUGUGAGGGCGAUCUGGCUGAGACAUCUGUCACCCCAUUGAUUGCCAGGGUUGAUUCAGCUGCUCUGGCUGGCUAGGCGGGUGUCUCCUUCCUCCCUUGCUGCUCCAUGUGCACCCUCCCGAAGCCGCACGCUCAGUGGAAGAGGACGACCAUCUCCGAUAGAGGACGACUGGUCUUCGGUUAAGGGUAUAGACUAGCUGCGCUCCCCUGCUAGAACCUCCAGACAAGCUCUUGAUAAUAUCCAGUCUUAAAGAAGGAUCUGUUACAUGUGCUUCAGAACAAGUGGAUUAAGUACAAUUGAAGAUUCCAUGUAUAAUUUCAAUCAUCUUUUAGUUAAAAAAAAAUUUAACUGA
ensembl:misc_RNA RN7SKP249 RN7SK pseudogene 249